UGCCAGCCGCCGCGGUAAUACGGAGGGGGCAAGCGUUAUUCGGAAUUAUUGGGCGUAAAGGGCGCGCAGGCGGAAUGAUAAGUUAGUGGUGAAAUCCCUCGGCUCAACCGAGGAACUGCCAUUAAUACUGUCAUUCUUGAGUAUAGUUGAAGUGGGCGGAAUGUAUCAUGUAGCGGUGAAAUGCUUAGAUAUGAUACAGAACACCGAUAGCGUAGGCAGCUUGCUAAACUAUAACUGACGCUCAGGCACGAAAGCGUGGGGAGCAAACAGGAUUAGAUA
rnacentral:rRNA from 1 species